rnacentral:rRNA from 1 species
GACGAACGCUGGCGGCGUGCUUAACACAUGCGAGUCGAACGGAAAGGCCUGCUUUCCCUUGUGGAUUGCGGGUACUCGAGUGGCGAACGGGUGAGUAACACGUGAGUGAUCUGCCCCCAACUUGGGUAUAAGCCUGGGAAACUGGGUCUAAUUCCCGAUAGGACUGCAGGGUGGUGCCUGUGGUGGAAAACGAUUUUCUAGUGGUUGGGGAUGAGCUCGCGGCCUAUCAGCUUGUUGGUGGGGUAAUGGCCUACCAAGGCGGGGACGGGUAGCCGGCCUGGGAGCGUGGACGGGCACAUUGGGACUGAGAUACGGCCCAGACGCCUACGGGAGGCAGCAGUGGGGAAUAUUGCACAAUGGGCGGAAGCCUGAUGCAGCGACGCCGCGUGGGGGAUGACGGCCUUCGGGUUGUAAACUUCUUUCGACCGCGAGGAAGCCACCUGGAUGGAAGGGUGGUGACGGUAGUGGUAGAAGAAGCACCGGCUAACUACGUG